GUCGGGGGUUUAUACCGACCUGCCAGUUGCCACGAGGUUUCCGGAUUCUUCUUGUCUCUCCUCUCUUUCUCUUUCCCUUUCCUGGCUUCCGCAGCGGGAAGCCACUUGCCGAUUCCUCCUCAAACAUCCAACAGCCAAACGGUUCCCUUGAGCACAGCAAGUAGCUCAGAGGAGAUGAUCCUGUUUUGGAAACAUGUGAAUUCUGUGAUUCAACUCUUAAUACAUUACUAAGCAACCACUGAAUAAAGAGUAGCCAGAAGGAAUUACAAUCUCAUAGGCACUGAUAUAGCAGUGCUAAGGAGGAGACGACAUAACUCAGCUUUAGAUUGCACCCUCAAGAAAUCAUGUUGCAUUUCACAACAGGGGGAAGAGUUUCAGGAGAUUCCACUUGUUUUUUCCGACUAGCGUAACUUUUACAACACAUGUGCUCUUGAACAUCGUGAGGAGGAUGCUCUGUGGCUAGCCUGUGUUUUGGUGCAGGCUUUGGAAAUUGGAAGGAAAGAUGUGUGGCAGUGGGCAGAAAUGUCUGUUCGGAUCCUUUGUACAUUUUUUAUUUGGAUAUUUUAUCUUUCUAAUGUGGAGCUCUCUCAAGACAACAUAUAGGCCUUACAGAGGUUUUUCUUUGCUCCUUUGAGUUUUCUCUGCUUACACUGCCAGCAGUAAAUGUGAUAAGGACCACAGGUGGUCUGAUCUAGUCUUCUCAGAAAUAAGGAUGUCAUCCAAUCCUAUCCAUUUGGGAAUACACAGCAUAAAAGACCUGCUAAGGAAGGCAACUCAAAGGAAUAUUUAGAGAUUAAGAAAUUUGUCUGCUGUAUUACCAUCCACUGAUCAAUGUACUAUCUGAAAACAACAAAGGAGGCAUUACCUUGUGCCUUCCAUAUAUGUUAAGUGAGGGAAAGCAAAAUUAAGAUUACUCUAAUUGCUCUGAGGUAAAAUUAGUGAGUGGAUUCCACUCAAAAGAACUUAAACUAAAUAAUCCCAAACUGAUGAAAUAGCAAAUCACAGUUUUAUUUCUCAUAUUAUAAAGACUUAUCCCACAAAGAAAUUUAUAAAUGAUAUUUUUAUCUGAAAACAAACAUUGACAUUUUUUGCAUCUAACUCACUUUGUUGGAAAACAAUAGAAAAAUACAUGCAUGGUUAAUAUAUUAAAGAGUGCUAUUAAGUGGAAAGCAAUAAAU